GUUUCCAGUCUUGAAUCCCAUUGCGGCAAAUUGCUGGGAGAAACCGUUUUGCCAGUUUUCAACAGCAACCUUGCUUUUGGAUUCCCUAUACCUUCAAUCUUUGGCGCUGAUCUCAUUAAUCCCACGUUCUUCUUUAUUGAGGGUGUCCUUUUGGUUGGCUUUUGAGCCGGAGGAUGCACAGAAGUCUCCGGGACCAGAAGGGAGGAGCGACCGGCACACAGAGAGAAGAACCCCUGACAUCCAGUUUUCCCUUUCCCCAUUCUCAGGAGACCCAAUAGGAUUCCGUCUCCUAGACUUCCUUGAAUAAAUAUCCUG